GACGAACGCUGGCGGCGUGCCUAAUACAUGCAAGUAGAACGCUGAAGGAGGAGCUUGCUUCUCUGGAUGAGUUGCGAACGGGUGAGUAACGCGUAGGUAACCUGCCUGGUAGCGGGGGAUAACUAUUGGAAACGAUAGCUAAUACCGCAUAAGAGUAGAUGUUGCAUGACAUUUGCUUAAAAGGUGCAAUUGCAUCACUACCAGAUGGACCUGCGUUGUAUUAGCUAGUUGGUGAGGUAACGGCUCACCAAGGCGACGAUACAUAGCCGACCUGAGAGGGUGAUCGGCCACACUGGGACUGAGACACGGCCCAGACUCCUACGGGAGGCAGCAGUAGGGAAUCUUCGGCAAUGGACGGAAGUCUGACCGAGCAACGCCGCGUGAGUGAAGAAGGUUUUCGGAUCGUAAAGCUCUGUUGUAAGAGAAGAACGAGUGUGAGAGUGGAAAGUUCACACUGUGGCGGUAUCUUACCAGAAAGGGACGGCUAACUACGUG
rnacentral:rRNA from 1 species